AUUGGUUACAAAGUUACAUUCCUACGCAGAAGCAACCAGAGAUACUUUCAAUUUUCCAUGUGCCACGCAGAAAGUUCUAGGAAGUCAGUGUGAAUCGGCCUUAGUUUCCUUGCCUCCAGACCCUAUUCUCCUGCCUCACUUUUGCACCAACCUCAUACAACAACCCAUACAGAACUUGAAGAUCCAGGAAGCCUCUGCCUCCAUCCAGGAGCCGCUUCAUCCUCUACUCGGUGUAACUAUCUCUGAGAUUCCACAUCCUUUGAGAUUAAAAACACUUUACAUCUUCUGGGUCUGUUGACGGGUCCUUCCACCAAUCACAUCGCUGUGCUUCUGUGACAACUGAACACAACUGGAAGUGAAAAACAACUCCUCAUUCAAAGGGGUUUAAGGUACCCAAUUGCAAGCAGGGAAGAGAAAAUCAAAAGAACGGAUGAGACUUAUAUACACGGUUCCUUGUAGAUUCUGGAUAUUGGGCCUUUGUCAGAUGCAUAGAUUGCAAAAAUUUUCUCCCACUCUGCCAAAAGAGGAGUACAUCUGAACAGCAAUAGAGCAGAGGAAGAAACCCUAAGUCAUGUUGUAGCCUAAUACCAUGGAGUAGCACAGACUUUGAAACCAGGCAGAACCAGGUUUGAACUUUAAUUGACCCUUGUUCCCCUAAAUGGGGAAAAGGGGCCAAAUAAGAACUUGAACAGAUCUCUUCAGAACCGGGAAAACAUCUCCUUUUGUUGACAUCACAUGAAGGUUGAAGUCCGCUGUCAGGACCAUGUUUAAGGAUCUCAAUUGCCAUGUGGAUAAGAAGUUCACUGUAAAACACGCAGGCCCUUCUGGAGGUGUCCAGAAGAAGGCAUUGUUAUCACAGGAGAUGACAGCCCCAUGCAUAUGACUGCCCCUGAAGACCUGGUGGGACAAGAUGUGGAGGUGGAAGAUAGUGAGACUGAUGAUCCUGAGCCCAUGUAGGCCUAGGCUGAUGUGUGGGUUUUUGUCUUGGUUUUUAACAAAAAAAAUGUAAAAAGUAAAAACAAAUUUAACA
rnacentral:lncRNA from 1 species